AUAACACUUGUUUGCAAAACAGCUCUUACAAUAGAGACUCACGUAGAGCUUAACUUAAUUAUGAUCACCUAGGUUUCCGCUGGAUGUAAAACUUUCUCUCAUCGUAGACCUAGGCUCCUCCUAAGUCUGAGCUCCCCUCACACUCGACAUGUUUAGGCUCCUUUUAGAGUGGCAAUAUUAGUGAUUAUCACUGAGUGCAGCUGCAAGGUAUACAAAAUUUUCAUUCUCCUUUUUUAAUUACUUCCUUGUACUGCAUCACCUCCAUUAGUUUCAUAACAAACAAGACAAUAAUACAAGGGUGUCAAAUGAGUUAACAAUCCCGAGAAAGGAAGACAAACCAUGUUUGUUACUCUUCUACUUUCAAUUCUUCUUGGCCUUACAGCUGUCCUUUUGGCAUUUGGCCACAACAUUUGGGCUGGAUUCUUUAGUGAUAGUCCUUUUUUUUUCAUGCACAAUAUCUAGCCAAUGGUUCAUCUUCUUCCUCUCAUCCAUUUCAAUUUUUUUCCACAAAUCAGCACUUCAAAACCCAUUUACACAGAAAGAGCCAAGUCCUCCCAUAUGUAUAUAUUUUAUCUUAUAACUAGGCCAAUUUCCAAAUUUUGAGGCACCCUAUAUAAGUUUGAUCAUCCUCAUGUCUUCUUCCUCACGCUCAUACUCGGUCAUUAUACAAUUUCCUCAGGGAAAAUGACUUGGUUUCUUGGUUUUCUCUUUCUCUAUUUCUUACUUCUUUUGCUAAUGCUUGCUGUGUUUAUCAGUCUAAAGCUAGCCACCUUUAUGAUUCACCUACUACAUGUAUAUAUAUAUAUUUCUAUUAUAUCUUUUACCUUUUUUCAGAAUAAUAAUAAUUGCAUGAAGGAUUUUGUCAUAUGAUUAUUAUUGGUUUCUCUUAUGUUAUGGCAAUGUGGCCUUGCAAUUCUCUAAUGGCUUCUUUGCAGCUGUUGUGCCUUCCCUGAUUUAUGCGUCUAUUUGAUACAACACACAAGGCAGCAAGUAUAAAAAGUUACAAGUUUAGUCAAUGGACAUUCAAACUAAUUUAUGCAUCUAUUUGAUCCCUAAAAUUUUAAUUUGUUGUUUGAUACGUCUUGAGCAUUCAAUUUUAUGUUUAUAGUUUUUUUUAGACAUGUUAGGUAAUUAUUUUGCUUUUAAACUUAGAUCUAUCAACGUUCAUUCCACCUCAAUUUUUUUUUUUUUUUUUUGCUUUUUGUGUUUGUCUAAUUUUUACCAAUGUUCUCAAAAUCGAAGUCAAAUUUUAAAACAAAAAAAAGAUUUCUAAAAAAGUUUCAGUUUUUAGAUUUUGAAUAAAAAAUUAACUUUUAUACUUAAAAAAAAAAGAGAAAAAACAAAAUUGUUGCAAACAUAUAUUGAAUGGAUCUUUCAUAUUCAAAUUUCUAAAAAAAUUAACUUUUGAUUUUUAGUAAUGUGAAUAAUGUUUGGAUUUGUGUUUGUGGUAUUGGCGAAUGAUUGGAGAUCGCGGGAGGUAUGCUAUGGGUUUCACUUUUGUUUGGCGGAAGAAUAAUUGAAGUCAUAUCUGAUUGAAAGCUAAGUGAUUGUGUAGACAACCAGACGAUCGUUGAAGGUUGAAGACUGAGAAGACGUUCAAGAUUUAUUAUUUAAUACAAAAGACUGAGAAGACGUUCAAGAUUUAUUAUUUAUGUCUUGUAUUAAGAUCUUGUUUCAUGUACUCAUGUAAAAUAUAUACAUAAAAACAAUAUUAAGAUUUCAUUUUGUGUAUACAAACAUGUAAAAGACAAAUAUUAUAAUUUCUACAUGAAUAUUAAAUUUAUUGA